GAAUAGAUCUUAUUGGAGAGAAAUAAAACAAGAAUAUUCAUUUUAAAUACAUACAUGUGAAUUCAUCAUAAAUUCAUUGAUUUAGCGUAUAGUGAUGCUUGCUCUUUUAAAUGGAUUUGAUCGAGUCCUGGUUCAAAUGUCUCAAAUGUACGUAUGUGUUAAAAGUUUCUACUUAAGUAAAUAAAUAUUGUCUGGUACGAUUCAAAUUAAGUACCUGAAAAUUGGAACUUGUAAAAUCAUGGGAAUAAAGUGAAAAAAAAAUGCUAGUUUAUCUAAAAUACAAGGUAGUGGAUUGUAUCGCAACUUUUAAUCGAUUUCAUUUUUUUCCUUUUUGUUGUUAAUUUCCAAGUAUUUUUUAAGUAAUAAACACUGACAUAUU
rnacentral:misc_RNA from 1 species